UAAGUACUCCCUCUGUCCCAAAUUUUUUGUCUUUGACUUGUCUGAAUACGGAUGUAUCUAUCUAGUCACAUUUUAGUGUUGGAUACAUCCGUAUUUAUAGAUAAAUGUAAGAUUAGAAUUUUGGGACGGAGAUAAAAU
rnacentral:pre_miRNA from 1 species